AGUGAACGCUGGCGGUAGGCCUAACACAUGCAAGUCGAACGGCAGCACAGUAAGAGCUUGCUCUUACGGGUGGCGAGUGGCGGACGGGUGAGGAAUACAUCGGAAUCUACUUUUUCGUGGGGGAUAACGUAGGGAAACUUACGCUAAUACCGCAUACGACCUACGGGUGAAAGUAGGGGAUCUUCGGACCUUGCGCGAUUGAAUGAGCCGAUGUCGGAUUAGCUAGUUGGCGGGGUAAAGGCCCACCAAGGCGACGAUCCGUAGCUGGUCUGAGAGGAUGAUCAGCCACACUGGAACUGAGACACGGUCCAGACUCCUACGGGAGGCAGCAGUGGGGAAUAUUGGACAAUGGGCGCAAGCCUGGUCCAGCCAUACCGCGUGGGUGAAGAAGGCCUUCGGGUUGUAAAGCCCUUUUGUUGGGAAAGAAAAGCAGCAGGUUAAUACCCCGCUGUUCUGACGGUACCCAAAGAAUAAGCACCGGCUAACUUCGUG
rnacentral:rRNA from 1 species